UUUCACCUUUACUCCAGCCCCACGGGCCCCAGGGUAUUGCACUGGCUAUUCCCUGUGGUGGCACACACCUAUAGUCCCAGCUACUUGGGAGGCUGAGGCAGGAAGAUCGCUUGAGCCCAGGAGUUUGAAGCUGUAGUUAGCUAUAAUCACUGUCCCUCAGCCUGACCCUCUGGGCCUCUCCUGCCCUCCCUCUGCACCUUCCCCAGGACACUGAUGAAGUGUGGAUGGUCUCCUCACUGAUUUCGGUGUCAGAGAGGCCCUGGAAGGCGGCCGUGAAGGCCUCCUCACACUCUUCAAGCUUGGGGCUCCGCAUCCCAACAAACAUCUGGCAGAUGCGGAGGCGCUCAGAGUAGGUUGUGAAGCAGAGGAGACAGGGAAAUUCAGAAAUUAUUUUUGU
rnacentral:lncRNA from 1 species